rnacentral:rRNA from 1 species
GAUGAACGCUGGCGGCGUGCCUAAUACAUGCAAGUCGAGCGAAUGGAUUAAGAGCUUGCUCUUAUGAAGUUAGCGGCGGACGGGUGAGUAACACGUGGGUAACCUGCCCAUAAGACUAGGAUAACUCCGGGAAACCGGGGCUAAUACCGGACAACAUUUUGAACCGCAUGGUUCGAAAUUGAAAGGCGGCGUCGGCCGUCACUUAUGGAUGGACCCGCGUCGCAUUAGCGAGUUGGUGAGGUAACGGCUCACCAAGGCAACGAUGCGUAGCCGGCCUGAGAGGGUGAUCGGCCACACUGGGACUGAGACACGGCCCAGACUCCUACGGGAGGCAGCAGUAGGGAAUCUUCCGCAAUGGACGAAAGUCUGACGGAGCAACGCCGCGUGAGUGAUGAAGGCUUUCGGGUCGUAAAACUCUGUUGUUAGGGAAGAACAAGUGCUAGUUGAAUAAGCUGACACCUUGACGGUACCUAACCAGAAAGCCACGGCUAACUACGUGCCAGCCGCCGCGGUAA